AUUGAACGCUGGCGGCAGGCCUAACACAUGCAAGUCGAGCGGGGACUUCGGUCCUAGCGGCGAACGGGUGAGUAAUGCUUGGGAAUCUGCCCAGUAGUGGGGGAUAACGUCCCGAAAGGGACGCUAAUACCGCAUACGUCCUACGGGAGAAAGAGGGGGAUCUUCGGACCUCUCGCUAUUGGAUGAGCCCAAGUCGGAUUAGCUAGUUGGUAGGGUAAUGGCCUACCAAGGCGACGAUCCGUAGCUGGUCUGAGAGGAGGAUCAGCCACACUGGAACUGAGACACGGUCCAGACUCCUACGGGAGGCAGCAGUGGGGAAUAUUGGACAAUGGGCGAAAGCCUGAUCCAGCCAUGCCGCGUGUGUGAAGAAGGCCUUCGGGUUGUAAAGCACUUUAAGCGGGGAGGAAGGUUCGCGGCCUAAUACGUCGCGGAAUUGACGUUACCCGCAGAAUAAGCACCGGCUAACUCUGUG
rnacentral:rRNA from 1 species